rfam:Toxocara canis C1720621, whole genome shotgun sequence.
CGGGCAGUAGCUCAGUGGUAGAGCUCCCGCUUUAUAUGAGGGAAGACUGGAUUCGAUUCCCGGCUGCUUAC